UCCUACGGGGGGCAGCAGUGAGGAAUAUUGGUCAAUGGUCGGGAGACUGAACCAGCCAAGCCGCGUGAGGGAUGAAGGUACAGAGUAUCGUAAACCUCUUUUGUCAGGGAACGAAGGCGGGGACGCGUCCCCGGAUGAGUGUACCUGAAGAAAAAGCAUCGGCUAACUCCGUGCCAGCAGCCGCGGUAAUACGGAGGAUGCGAGCGUUAUCCGGAUUUAUUGGGUUUAAAGGGUGCGCAGGCGGUCUGUUAGGUCAGCGGUCAAAGCCCGGGGCUCAACCCCGGCCCGCCGUUGAAACUGGCAGU
rnacentral:rRNA from 1 species